rnacentral:rRNA from 1 species
CCUACGGGCGGCAGCAGUGAGGAAUAUUGGUCAAUGGCCGGAAGUCUGAACCAGCCAAGUAGCGUGAAGGAUGACUGCCCUAUGGGUUGUAAACUUCUUUUAUCAAGGAAUAAAACGAGGCACGUGUGCCUUUUUGCAUGUACUUUAUGAAUAAGGAUCGGCUAACUCCGUGCCAGCAGCCGCGGUAAUACGGAGGAUCCGAGCGUUAUCCGGAUUUAUUGGGUUUAAAGGGUGCGUAGAUGGGUUGUUAAGUCAGUUGUGAAAGUUUGCGGCUUAACCGUAAAAUUGCAAUUGAUACUGGCAGUCUUGAGUACAGGUGAGGUAGGCGGAAUGCGUGGUGUAGCGGUGAAAUGCUUAGAUAUCACGAAGAACUCCGAUUGCGAAGGCAGCUUACUAAACUGCCACUGACGUUGAUGCUCGAAAGUGUGGGUAUCAAACAGGAUUAGAUACCCGGGUAGUC